rnacentral:rRNA from 1 species
UUUUAUUUGAGAGUUUGAUCCUGGCUCAGGAUGAACGCUGGCGGCGUGCCUAACACAUGCAAGUUGAGCGAUUUACUUCGGUAAAGAGCGGCGGACGGGUGAGUAACGCGUGGGUAACCUACCCUGUACACACGGAUAACAUACCGAAAGGUAUGCUAAUACGGGAUAAUAUGUUUGAGAGGCAUCUCUUGAAUAUCAAAGGUGAGCCAGUACAGGAUGGACCCGCGUCUGAUUAGCUAGUUGGUAAGGUAACGGCUUACCAAGGCGACGAUCAGUAGCCGACCUGAGAGGGUGAUCGGCCACAUUGGAACUGAGACACGGUCCAAACUCCUACGGGAGGCAGCAGUGGGGAAUAUUGCACAAUGGGCGAAAGCCUGAUGCAGCAACGCCGCGUGAGUGAUGAAGGCCUUCGGGUCGUAAAACUCUGUCCUCAAGGAAGAUAAUGACGGUACUUGAGGAGGAAGCCCCGGCUAACUACGUGCCAGCAGCCGCGGUAAUACGUAGGGGGCUAGCGUUAUCCGGAUUUACUGGGCGUAA